GAAGUCGUUUUUGUUACUUGGUCUUCUUUAUUUUGCUUACAUCAGAUGUUCAACUGCAUCGAACAUCAUAUGUUGUACGGAAAAGUUACAAGAAAAUUAUUAUCAACAUGACAAGUGCUAUGGUUACAAGGGAGCUAAUUGUAUUGAUUCAUCUGAGUGUCUCUCCACAGCCUACGAGUGCCGAUCAGGAAUUUGUCAAGAAGCGCGGAAUGCUACACUCAAGGGUGUUGAGUGCUCUGCUAAAUAUGACAAGACAGUAUGUUGGGUUCCGGGUACAAUUAGUAACAGACGGUAUGCACUUGAAGCUUACAAAUUUCCUCUAGGACCUGUUGAAUACGUGUGUCGUGUUAA